CAGGGUGGGCGCGGCUGUCCCGUCCGUCUGUCCGGCUGCAGGAGCGGUGCCGCAGCCCAGCCCUCCGCGAGGAGCGGUGCCCGGCCGCACCGAGUGCGGAGAGCCGGCCCGGGGCUCUGAGCGGCGCCCGUCGCAGCUGCGGCGCAGUGGGUCCUUCCCUCGAUUCUGGGAAAACAUGAUCAAAACUGCUUGAAUACUGACCCCACCUUCACGUCAACCUGAGGCUGCAUGUGUGGAGAGCACACCAGUCCCAAGGGGAGAGACCAUGCAAGAGGCAAAGGGAACUAACUCCAUGGGUGGUGGAGCUGUCAUUGGGUGUCUCUUCUCUCUGUUCCCUUCCCCAUCUCCUUCUCUGUCUCUCAGGUACUUAAAGAGAAAUUUGAGGAGAACUUGGUUCAACAGUGUUGUCCACGCACUGAAUUCUUUGCCUCCUGUCACACAGAAUUGUUGAGGGCUCUACCCAUUGCUCGGGAAAGUCUAGGCCAUAGUUUCCAUGAGGCCCGAGCGGGUCUGAUCCCAAUCUACCUCCAGAAAAAUGUACAUUGUAAAGCUUGUGACCAAA